rnacentral:rRNA from 1 species
GACGAACGCUGGCGGCGUGCUUAACACAUGCAAGUCGAACGGAAAGGCCCUGCUUUUGUGGGGUGCUCGAGUGGCGAACGGGUGAGUAACACGUGAGUAACCUGCCCUUGACUUUGGGAUAACUUCAGGAAACUGUGGCUAAUACCGGAUAGGAGCUCCUGCUGCAUGGUGGGGGUUGGAAAGUUUCGGCGGUUGGGGAUGGACUCGCGGCUUAUCAGCUUGUUGGUGGGGUAGUGGCUUACCAAGGCUUUGACGGGUAGCCGGCCUGAGAGGGUGACCGGCCACAUUGGGACUGAGAUACGGCCCAGACUCCUACGGGAGGCAGCAAUGGGGAAUAUUGCACAAUGGGCGGAAGCCUGAUGCAGCAACGCCGCGUGCGGGAUGACGGCCUUCGGGUUGUAAACCGCUUUCGCCUGUGACGAAGCGUGAGUGACGGUAAUGGGUAAAGAAGCACCGGCUAACUACGUG